rnacentral:rRNA from 2 species
UUUCCAGAGAUGGACUGGUGCCUUCGGGAACUGUGAGACAGGUGCUGCAUGGCUGUCGUCAGCUCGUGUUGUGAAAUGUUGGGUUAAGUCCCGCAACGAGCGCAACCCUUAUCCUUUGUUGCCAGCGAUUAGGUCGGGAACUCAAAGGAGACUGCCAGUGAUAAACUGGAGGAAGGUGGGGAUGACGUCAAGUCAUCAUGGCCCUUACGACCAGGGCUACACACGUGCUACAAUGGCGCAUACAAAGAGAAGCGACCUCGCGAGAGCAAGCGGACCUCAUAAAGUGCGUCGUAGUCCGGAUUGGAGUCUGCAACUCGACUCCAUGAAGUCGGAAUCGCUAGUAAUCGUGGAUCAGAAUGCCACGGUGAAUACGUUCCCGGGCCUUGUACACACCGCCCGUCACACCAUGGGAGUGGGUUGCAAAAGAAGUAGGUAGCUUAACCUUCGGGAGGGCGCUUACCACUUUGUGAUUCAUGACUGGGGUGAAGUCGUAACAAGGUAACCGUAGGGGAACCUGCGGUUGGAUCACCUCCUUA